AGAGUUUGAUCCUGGCUCAGGACGAACGCUGGCGGCGUGCCUAAUACAUGCAAGUCGAGCGAAUGACGAGAAGCUUGCUUCUCUGAUUUAGCGGCGGACGGGUGAGUAACACGUGGGCAACCUGCCCUACAGAUCGGGAUAACUCAGGGAAACCUGGGCUAAUACCGGAUAAUCCUUCGAAUCACAUGUUUUGAAGUUGAAAGGCGCUUCGGCGUCACUGUAGGAUGGGCCCGCGGUGCAUUAGCUAGUUGGUGGGGUAACGGCCUACCAAGGCAACGAUGCAUAGCCGACCUGAGAGGGUGAUCGGCCACAUUGGGACUGAGACACGGCCCAAACUCCUACGGGAGGCAGCAGUAGGGAAUCUUCCACAAUGGACGAAAGUCUGAUGGAGCAACGCCGCGUGAGUGAUGAAGGUUUUCGGAUCGUAAAACUCUGUUGUAAGGGAAGAACAAGUACGUUAGGAAAUGAACGUACCUUGACGGUACCUUAUUAGAAAGCCACGGCUAACUACGUGCCAGCAGCCGCGGUAAUACGUAGGUGGCAAGCGUUGUCCGGAUUUAUUGGGCGUAAAGCGCGCGCAGGUGGUUUCUUAAGUCUGAUGUGAAAGCCCACGGCUCAACCGUGGAGGGUCAUUGGAAACUGGGGAACUUGAGUGCAGAAGAGGAUAGUGGAAUUCCAAGUGUAGCGGUGAAAUGCGUAGAGAUUUGGAGGAACACCAGUGGCGAAGGCGACUGUCUGGUCUGUAACUGACACUGAGGCGCGAAAGCGUGGGGAGCAAACAGGAUUAGAUACCCUGGUAGUCC
rnacentral:rRNA from 1 species